rnacentral:rRNA from 1 species
UACGUAGGGUGCGAGCGUUGUCCGGAAUUACUGGGCGUAAAGAGCUCGUAGGUGGUUUGUCGCGUUGUCCGUGAAAACUCACAGCUCAACUGUGGGCGUGCGGGCGAUACGGGCAGACUGGAGUACUGCAGGGGAGACUGGAAUUCCUGGUGUAGCGGUGAAAUGCGCAGAUAUCAGGAGGAACACCGAUGGCGAAGGCAGGUCUCUGGGCAUUAACUGACGCUGAGGAGCGAAAGCAUGGGGAGCGAACAGGA